AUGCAAUUUAUCCUUCUUCUGAUCACAAUUAGUUUUAUCCAAUAUAUUUGGUCACAAUUAGUUUUAUCACACCUCACCAUACAUGGCACCUCAUCAACCACACUACUUGUGUUUCUCCUUACAUGUAUGGGAAAUGCUACUUACGGUAUUUCUCUCAACAUGCAUGUUGUUGGGCUAUAUUCAAACUUUUCUUACUUUGAGUUCAAAUAUGUAGAUUCACGAGGUGAAAAUAUGCAGUGUGUGAAAGAUAGACUUGUUAUACAAACAAUUGUUAUUUUCUACAAAUAUGUUCCUACAAAUAUUAAUGAGAACGAUGUAAAUAUAUAA
rnacentral:rRNA from 1 species